rnacentral:rRNA from 1 species
GCAGCCGCGGUAAUACGGAGGAUGCGAGCGUUAUCCGGAUUUAUUGGGUUUAAAGGGUGCGUAGGCGGAACCUUAAGUCAGCGGUAAAAUGUCGGUGCUCAACGCCGGCCGGCCGUUGAAACUGAGGUUCUUGAGUGAGCGAGAAGUAUGCGGAAUGCGUGGUGUAGCGGUGAAAUGCAUAGAUAUCACGCAGAACUCCGAUUGCGAAGGCAGCAUACCGGCGCUCAACUGACGCUGAGGCACGAAAGCGUGGGGAUCGAACAGGAUUAGAUACCCC